ACUCAAAUGAAUUGACGGGGGCUCACACAAGCGGUGGAGCAUGUGGCUUAAUUCGAGGCUACGCGAAGAACCUUACCCAGACUUGACAUGUGCGAAAGCGUCGGGAAGUAGGGGGCGGAAACGUUCCCCCAACGGUAUCCAGUCCGGAACCCGAUACAGGUGCUGCAUGGCUGUCGUCAGCUCGUGUCGUGAGAUGUCGGGUUAAGUCCCAUAACGAGCGAAACCCUUGCCCUUAGUUGCCACCAUUCAGUUGGGCACUCUAGGGGGACUGCCGGUGUUAAACCGGAGGAAGGCGGGGAUGACGUCAAGUCCUCAUGGCCUUUACGUCUGGGGCUGCACACGUGCUACAAUGCGGCGAACAAAGGGACGCAAACGCGCAAGCGCCAGCUAAUCCCAAAAAACGCCGCUCAGUUCAGAUUGAGGGCUGCAACCCGCCCUCAUGAAGCUGGAAUCGCUAGUAAUCGCGGAUCAGCAAUGCCGCGGUGAAUGUGUUCCUGAGCCUUGCACACACCGCCCGU
rnacentral:rRNA from 1 species